GGCAACAAGACACUUCGGUGUUGUUGGCGACCGGCGAACGGGUGCGUAAUGCGUAUGUAAUCUACCUUGUACUGGGGCAUAGCUCUCGGAAACGAGAAUUAAUUCCCCAUAUUAUCCCUCCACUGCAUGGUGGAGAGAUGAAAGUUUUUCGGUACAAGAUGGGCAUACGUCCUAUUAGCUAGUUGGUGAGGUAACGGCUUACCAAGGCUACGAUAGGUAGGGGGUCUGAGAGGAUGUCCCCCCACACUGGUACUGAGAUACGGACCAGACUCCCACGGGAGGCAGCAGUAGGGAAUAUUGGUCAAUGGGCGAAAGCCUGAACCAGCUAUGCCGCGUGCAGGAAGAAGGCCAUAGGUCGUAAACUGCUUUUAUGCGAGAGAAAUAAGCUUCUGAGGAAGCCUAUGAUAGUAUCGUAUGAAUAAGCACCGGCUAACUCCGUGCCAGCAGCCGCGGUAAGACGGAGGGUGCAAGUGUUAUCCGGAUUUACUGGGUUUAAAGGGUGCGUAGGCGGCUUUAUAAGUCAGUGGUGAAAGCUAGCAACUCAACUGUUAAAGUGCCAUUGAUACUGUAAAGCUUGAGUAAAGUCGAGGUGGGUGGAAUUCUACAUGUAGCGGUGAAAUGCAUAGAUAUGUAGAGGAACUCCAAUAACGAAGGUAACUCACUAGGCUAUUACUGACGCUGAGGUACGAAAGCGUGGGGAGCAAAUAGGAUUAGAUACCCUAGUAGUCCACGCUGUAAACGAUGGUCACUCGAUAUAUCCCCCCUCGGGGGGGGUGUGUCCAAGCGAAAGCGUUAAGUGACCCACCUGGGGAGUACGUUC
rnacentral:rRNA from 1 species